AUUGAACGCUGGCGGCAGGCCUAACACAAGCAAGUCGAGCGAGCGGCGGACGGGUUAGUAAUGUAUGGGGACUGCCCGAUAGAGGUGGAUAACUACUGGAAACGGUAGCUAAUACUACAUACUAUCUGCUACCCCAUAUGGGAUUAGCUAGUAGGUGAGGUAAUGGCUCACCUAGGCGACGAUCCCUAGCUGGUCUGAGAGGAUGAUCAGCCAAACUGGGACUGAGACACGGCCCAGGCUCCUACGGAGGCAGCAGUGGGGAAGAUUGAACAAUGGGCGAAAGCCAGAUGCAGCCAUGCCGCGUGGAUGAAGAAGGCAAUAGGGUUGUAAAGUACUUUUAGUUGGGAGGCGUUACAGUUAGAAGAAGCACCUGCUAACUCCGUGCCAGCCGCCGCGGUAAUUC
rnacentral:rRNA from 1 species